UACGUAGGGUGCAAGCGUUAAUCGGAAUUACUGGGCGUAAAGCGUGCGCAGGCGGUGUUGUAAGACAGAUGUGAAAUCCCCGGGCUCAACCUGGGAACUGCAUUUGUGACUGCAUCGCUGGAGUGCGGCAGAGGGGGAUGGAAUUCCGCGUGUAGCAGUGAAAUGCGUAGAUAUCUGGAGGAAUACCGGUGGCGAAGGCGGCAUCCUGGACCGGCAUUGACGCUGAGGAGCGAAAGCCAGGGGAGCAAACGGG
rnacentral:rRNA from 1 species